rnacentral:tRNA from 1 species
GCGGAAGUGGCGGAAUUGGCAGACGCGCUAGCUUCAGGUGCUAGUGAUCAAUAGAUCGUGCAGGUUCAAGUCCUGUUUUCCGCACCA